UCCACUCACAAUGAAGACAACAUUUUUUGCAUCUGCACAAAGGAUGUUAAGGAUAGAGAUAACCUGCUCACUCGGUGACUUAUUUAUGGAGUUUUGAGGCAUCACAGUGCCAUCAUAGUCCAACAGAAUAGCCCGACUUUCAGCUCUACUGUAAGAUGAUACAAUGGCAUCUACUGAAAGUUUUCUGAAAUUGGGAUCAAGAGCUACAACCCUG
rnacentral:misc_RNA from 1 species